rnacentral:misc_RNA from 1 species
UUGAACCCCCAGGGAGUUAGGUCGAUCUAAAUCUUAAUCCUUGAAUCAAUCUAAAUCUCUGGGAAUACAGCCUUGGAUUAUCAUCCAACUGAGGACAGCUAAUUUAUAAACUCAUCAUCACCAGCAAGAUCUACAAUGUCACAGCUUCAGCACAGCGGAGAUGAAGGUGUGUCUUCUGGAUUAUCAUCACACUGAGGACAGCUAAACUCGUCAUCACAUCAAGAUCUCCAGCAUCGCAGCCUCACCACAGAGAUGAAGGUAUGUCUUUUGGAUUAUCAUCCAACUGAGGACAGCUUAUUUUUAACUCAUCAUCACCAGCAAGAUCUACAAUGUCACAGCUUCUGCACAGAGAUGAAGGUGUAUCUCCUUGAUUAUCAUCAUACUUACGACAUCUAAACUGAUCAUCACAUCAAGACCACAACAUCGCAGCCUCAGCACAGGAGUUGUUUUGGGAUGGCACUGAGUUUUCAACGGAUAUGACGGUAUGAUUCCUGGAUUAUCAUCACACUGACGACAGCUUUUUUAUAAACUCAUCAUCACUAGCAAGAUCUACAACGUUGCAGCCUCAGCACAGCAGAGAUGAAGGUAUGUCUCUUGGAUUAUCAUCCAACUGAGGACAGCUAAUUUAUAAACUCAUCAUUACGAGCAAGAUCUACAAUGUCACAGCUUCAGCACAGGUGACCCUUUCCAUACAGCAUGGUGGCUUCUUGGGGAACUGACUCUACCUAUCUUGUAAUGGAUAAUACCUAAAAAAGUAGGCGGUGAAAAACAGCAGCAAGAGCAGUGCAUUAUCUCAUCCAUGUGUAGAAUACAUGAUAUGUGGCAACAUUAUAAAUGUCAAAUGAUGUGCAAAGCCUGAUUUUAGACACCCAUUACAAGGAGGAAUCUGCAUCUGGUAUUGGUAGUAAGGAGAAAUCUUGAAUGGGUAUAUAUUGUUUCCUGAUGGCAGUAAUAGGUAAUUUGUCACCUCUUACACAACCAAACUCAAAUCAUAACAUUAAAUGCUUCAUUUGAUACUGAAUAAUAUUAUUGUAAUAUUGAAAAUUUUAUUUUUUGUAAUUCUCAAUCUUCUCAUAUCAAUUGCCAAUAAACAACGCAGUCAACUGAUACACUUAUCUCAGAUUAUUACAGUUGUUAAGCUUAUUUUUUACAAAUUUUACAAACAUUGGACUAGAUUUGUCAACAUCAUUUACAUUUGAAUAUGUUUAGGUAUGGAAUUUGCCAGUGUUUUCAAUCUUAUUUUUAGUUUUCUUAAAUAUUUUCUGAAAACAUCAUUUUCAUUAGGCACAGUCAACUGAUAAGCUGAUCUCAGAUUAUUUCAGUUGUUAAGCAUCAUUUGUAGAAAUUUCACGAACAUUGGACUUGAUUUGUCAAAAUUAUUAACAUAAAAGUAUUUUAAACCAUGGAAUUUGCCUUUUUUCUGUGCAAUUUUUAGUUUUCUCAAAUAUAUUGUCCGAAAAAUCAAUUUCAUUACACACAGUCAACUGAUAAGCUUAUGGCUGAUUAUUUCAGUUGUUAAUUAUAAGCUUCAUUGUGCAAAGUUCACAAAGAAUUAAGGAAAUUUCACAAAGUUAUUAACAUUUAACUAUUUUUAUAUACAGCAUCAGCAGUUUUUAUGUACAGACACAGAUGUGUCUGUAAAUAUAGCCGUCACCUUCGUCUGUCUUCGCCAUCGUCACCUUGCACUUUCACCGAUAACACAAUAAGUGAAAAAUCCUUUUACCUUUUGGCUUGAAACUUACAGAAC